UACGAAGGGGGCUAGCGUUGCUCGGAAUCACUGGGCGUAAAGCGCACGUAGGCGGCUUCUUAAGUCAGGGGUGAAAUCCUGGAGCUCAACUCCAGAACUGCCCUUGAUACUGAGGAGCUUGAGUCCGGGGGAGGUGAGUGGAACUGCGAGUGUAGAGGUGAAAUUCGUAGAUAUUCGCAAGAACACCAGUGGCGAAGGCGGCUCACUGGCCCGGUACUGACGCUGAGGUGCGAAAGCGUGGGGAGCAAACAGG
rnacentral:rRNA from 1 species